GGCGAUCAGAUACCGCCCUAGUUAUGACCGUAAACGAUGCCAACUAUCAAUCCGCCAGUGGCCUUCAGUCAUUGGCGGGCGGAUCGACGGAAACGAAAGUUUUUCGGUUCCGGGGGAAGUAUGGUUGCAAAGCUGAAACUUAAAGGAAUUGACGGAAGGGCACCACCAGGAGUGGAGCUUGCGGCUUAAUUUGACUCAACACGGGAAAUCUCACCCGGCCAGUACAUCAUAAGGAUUGACAGAUUGAAAGCUCUUUCAUGAUUUGAUGAAUGGUGGUGCAUGGCCGUUCUUAGUUCGUGGUGUGAACUGUCUGCUUAAUUGCGAUAACGAGCGAGACUCCAACUGUUAAAUAGUAAAAGGUUUCUUUUGACCUUCAUACUUCUUAGUAGGAUUCGCGACUUCAAGUCGCAAGAAAUGGAGCAAUAACAGGUCUGUGAUGCCCUUAGAUGUUCGGGGCAGCACGCGUGCUACAAUGGUGGUAACAGCGUGAUUGUCCUCGCCCGACAGGGCUUGGCAAACAGUUGAGAUAUUAUUAUGGCUGGAAUUGAGUGUUGAAAUUUUCUCUCAUGAACGAGGAAUUCCAAGUAAAUGCGAGUCAUCAACUCGCAUUGAUUACGUCCCUGCCCUUUGUA
rnacentral:rRNA from 1 species